UACGUAGGGUGCGAGCGUUUAAUCGGAAUUACUGGGCGUAAAGCGUGCGCAGGCGGUUAUUUAAGUCAGGUGUGAAAGCCCUGGGCUUAACCUAGGAAUUGCGCUUGAGACUGGAUAGCUUGGAGUGCGGCAGAGGGAGGUGGAAUUCCACGUGUAGCAGUGAAAUGCGUAGAGAUGUGGAGGAACACCGAUGGGCGAAGGCAGCCUCCUGGGCCAGCACUGACGCUCAUGCACGAAAGCGUGGGGAGCAAACAGG
rnacentral:rRNA from 1 species